CGAACGGUAGCACAGAGAGCUUGCUCUCGGGUGACGAGUGGCGGACGGGUGAGUAAUGUCUGGGAAACUGCCUGAUGGAGGGGGAUAACUACUGGAAACGGUAGCUAAUACCGCAUAACGUCGCAAGACCAAAGAGGGGGACCUUCGGGCCUCUUGCCAUCAGAUGUGCCCAGAUGGGAUUAGCUAGUAGGUGGGGUAACGGCUCACCUAGGCGACGAUCCCUAGCUGGUCUGAGAGGAUGACCAGCCACACUGGAACUGAGACACGGUCCAGACUCCUACGGGAGGCAGCAGUGGGGAAUAUUGCACAAUGGGCGCAAGCCUGAUGCAGCCAUGCCGCGUGUAUGAAGAAGGCCUUCGGGUUGUAAAGUACUUUCAGCGGGGAGGAAGGUGUUGAGGUUAAUAACCUCAGCAAUUGACGUUACCCGCAGAAGAAGCACCGGCUAACUCCGUGCCAGCAGCCGCGGUAAUACGGAGGGUGCAAGCGUUAAUCGGAAUUACUGGGCGUAAAGCGCACGCAGGCGGUCUGUCAAGUCGGAUGUGAAAAUCCCCGGGCUCAACCUGGGAACUGCAUUCGAAACUGGCAGGCUAGAGUCUUGUAGAGGGGGGUAGAAUUCCAGGUGUAGCGGUGAAAUGCGUAGAGAUCUGGAGGAAUACCGGUGGCGAAGGCGGCCCCCUGGA
rnacentral:rRNA from 1 species